rnacentral:rRNA from 1 species
GAUGAACGCUGGCGGCGUGCUUAACUCAUGCAAGUCGAACGGAAAGGCCAGUGCAUGCACUGGUACUCGAAUGGCGAACGAGUGAGUAACACGUGGGUGAUCUGCCCUGUACUUCGGGAUAAGCUUGGGAAACUGGGUCUAAUAACGGUUAGGACAACUCUUUGGAUUUUGUUGUGGAAAGCUUUUGCGGUAUGGGGUGAGCUCGCGGCCGAUCAGGUUGUCGGUGGGGUAAUGGCCUACCAAGGCGAGGACGGGUAGCCAGCCUGUGAGGGUGUACGGUACCAUUGGGACAGAGAGACUGCGCAGACUCCUACGGGAGGCAGCAGGGUGGAAUAUUGCACAAUGGGCGCAAGCCUGAUGCAGCGACGCCGCGUGGGGGAUGAAGGCAUUCGGGUUGUAAACUCCUUUCGCUAGGGACGAAGCCUUUUGGUCACGGUACCUUGAGAAGAAGCACCGGCUAACUACGUG